GUACAUUUAGGGUAUCUUGAGUAUGUAUGGUGUGGUUAAUGUUUGAGGUGCCUUUCUUUAUCGAUGUUGCAGUGUACAGGAUGAUUAUGAGAUGGUUCUUCCUAUUGCCGUUGAGGACGUCAAGCGAGAGGUUCAGAUACUCAAAGCUCUUUAGAUGCUUAAAGUCCAUUAAUUAUGCUUGUUGACCUGUAGAUGUCUACCUCCCACCUUGGUCUGGUGUCACGUUUUAACAUAAUUGCCUAGGGAAUUUAUAUCUGGUCCACUUCACCCUCGUGCAUGUGCUUAAUGUUGUUCGUGAACAGGGAUGCAGGGCAUUGGUUGUUAAAAGAAUCCCGCUUAUGUCUGAUACUCCAAAGAAGCAUAUGGACAAGCUAAAUCCUUCCUCUUAUCUUGCAAGUAUGAAGAGGUUUUGGUACCAAUUCUUGAAGAUUUUGUUUCUCUUUAAAAGUUUGUAAGAAUUGGUGUGUGUUUUAUGGUGUGUGUUGCAAUGUUAAGAAUGAUAUGUAUGGUAAUUUCAGUCUUCUAUAAAGUUCAUCUUAUAAA